rnacentral:rRNA from 1 species
GGUAAAGGAAACAAGGGCACACAGUGAAUGCCUAGGCACUAAGAGGCGACGAAGGACGCGACUAACAGCGAAAUACCACGGCGAGCAGUAAGUACGCGACGAACCGUGGGUAUCCGAAUGGGGAAACCCACCAUGUAGAAGACAUGGUAUCGUAUUUAUACGAGGCGACACGCAGGGAACUGAAAUAUCUAAGUACCUGCAGGAAAAGAAAGUAAAAACGAUUCCGCUAGUAGCGACGAGCGAACGCGGAGUAGCCAGAUACUAUAAUAGUUACAAAACCACUAAAUAGAAGAACGGUGUGGGAAAGCCGGCCGCAGAAGGUGAGAGCCCUGUAUUUAAAAUUUAGAGGACUAGAGUAUCAAGAAGUAGGGCGGGACACGAGAAAUCCUGUUUGAAGAUGUGAGGACCAUCUCAUAAGGCUAAAUACUACUUAGUGACCGAUAGUGAACCAGUACCGUGAGGGAAAGGUGAAAAGAACCCCGGGAGGGGAGUGAAAGAGAACCUGAAACUGUGUGCUUACAAUUAGUCGAGCUCGUUAAGGAGUGAUGGCAUGCCUUUUGUAGAAUGAACCGGCGAGUUACGGUAUCUAGCAAGGUUAAGCGUGAGGGCGUGGAGCCGAAGCGAAAGCGAGUCGAAUAGGGCGAAUAAGUUAGAUGCUGUAGACCCGAAACUGAGUGAGCUAGCCAUGAGCAGGUUGAAGUUUGGGUAAGACCAAAUGGAGGACCGAACCAGGACACGUUAAAAAGUGUUUGGAUGACUUGUGGCUAGGGGUGAAAUUCCAAUCGAACUCGAGAGAUAGCUGGUUCUCUCCGAAAUAGCUUUAGGGCUAGCGUUAACGUGAAGUUUUAUGAAGGUAGAGCACUGAAUGUGUAAUGGCCCCACCUCGGGGUACUGAACUCAAUCAAACUACGAAUGUCAUAAAAUAUAGUUAGCAGUCAGACUACGGGUGAUAAGGUUCGUGGUCAAAAGGGAAAGAGCCCGCACCGUCAGAUAAGGUCCCAAAAUUUAUGCUAAGUGGAAAAGGAAGUGAAGAUGCACAAACAACUAGGAGGUUGGCUUAGAAGCAGCCAUCCUUUAAAGAGUGCGUAAAAGCUCACUAGUCGAGUGACUCUGCGCCGAAAAUGUACCGGGGCUAAGCAUAAUACCGAAUCUACGGAUUGACAAUUAGAUUGUCAGUGGUAGGAGAGCGUUCUAAGGGCGGAGAAGCAUGAUCGUAAGGACAUGUGGAGCGCUUAGAAGUGAGAAUGCCGGUGUAAGUAACGAAAAGAUAGGUGAGAAUCCUAUCCGUCGAAAACCCAAGGUUUCCAGGGGAAGGUUCGUCCGCCCUGGGUUAGUCGGGUCCUAAGGUGAGGCUGAAAAGCGUAGCCGAUGGAUAGCAGGUAGAGAUUCCUGCACCAGUUUAUGAACUGAUGGAGUGACAAAGGAGGCUAACGUCCGCCCUCUCAGUGGAUGAGGGACAAGGGAUCGAGCUUAGCGUGUAGGCAAAUCCGCACGCUAUAAAGAGUGAGAUCCGGUAGGUAAAGGAUGAUGAUGUCAAACUUUCUAGAAAAGCUUCUAGGGAUAAUUUAUAGACUGCCCGUACCGUAAACCGACACAGGUGGGUGGGUAGAGUAUACUAAGACGCGCGAGAAAACUCUUGUUAAGGAACUCGGCAAAAUGACUCCGUAACUUCGGGAUAAGGAGGACUUUUAAUGAAAAAAGAAGUCGCAGAGAAUAGGCCCAAGCGACUGUUUAUCAAAAACACAGGUCUCUGCAAAACCGUAAGGUGAAGUAUAGGGGCUGACGCCUGCCCGGUGCUGGAAGAUUAAGAGGAGAUGUUAGGUAACGAAGCAUUGAAUUGAAGUCCCAGUAAACGGCGGCCGUAACUAUAACGGUCCUAAGGUAGCGAAAUUCCUUGUCGGGUAAGUUCCGACCCGCACGAAAGGCGUAACGAUUUGGGCACUGUCUCAACAAGAGACUCGGUGAAAUCAAGCUGCCGGUGAAAACGCCGGCUACCCGCGACAGGACGAAAAGACCCCAUGGAGCUUUACUGUAACUUGAUAUUGACAUUGGGUGUAAGAUGUACAGGAUAGGUGGGAGACGUAGAAUGCGGGACGCUAGUUUCGGAGGAGUCGACCUUGGGAUACCACCCUUCGUGCAUUUGAUGUCUAACCCGCGUAAGUGGAUUACGGGGGACAGUGUCUCGUGGGCAGUUUGACUGGGGCGGUCGCCUCCUAAAGAGUAACGGAGGCGCUCGAAGGUACCCUCGAGAAUGGUUGGAAAUCAUUCGUAGAGUGCAAAAGCAUAAGGGUGCUUGACUGCGAGACCUACAAGUCGAGCAGGGACGAAAGUCGGAUUUAGUGAUCUCUCGGUGCAGUAUGGAAUGGCCGAGACUCAACGGAUAAAAGCUACCCUGGGGAUAACAGGCUUAUCGCUUCCAAGCGUUCACAGCGACGAAGCGGUUUGGCACCUCGAUGUCGGCUCGUCGCAUCCUGGAGCUGGAGAAGGUUCCAAGGGUUGGGCUGUUCGCCCAUUAAAGCGGCACGCGAGCUGGGUUGAACGUCGUGAGACAGUUCGGUCUCUAUCCGUCGUGGGCGUUGGAGAUUUGAAGGGAGCUGCCCCUAGUAUGAGAAGACCGGGGUGGACAUACCACUGGUGUACCAGUUGGCCUGCCAGGGCCACAGCUGGGUAGCUAAGUAUGGACGGGAUAAACGCUGAAAGCAUCUAAGCGUGAAGCCCCCUUAAGAUGAGAUCUCCCAAUUUAGUAAGACCCCUUAUAGACGAUGAGGUUGAUAGGCUAGGUGUGGAAGCACAGUGAUGUGUGAAGCUGACUAGUACUAAUAGGUCGAGGACUUUACCUA